UACAGAGGGGGCAAGCGUUAUUCGGAAUUAUUGGGCGUAAAGGGCGCGUAGGCGGCCAUUCAAGUGACGGGUGAAAGCCCUCGGCUUAACCGAGGAACUGCCUGUCAGACUGGAUGGCUUGAGACCGGGAGAGGUGAGUGGAAUUCCCAGUGUAGCGGUGAAAUGCGUAGAUAUCAGGAGGAACACCGGUGGCGAAGGCGCUCAUCUGGCCCAAUACUGACGCUGAUGCGCGAAAGCUAGGGGAGCAAACGGG
rnacentral:rRNA from 1 species